AUCAACUUUCGAUGGUAGGAUAGAGGCCUACCAUGGUGGUAACGGGUAACGGGGUGUUAGGGCUCGACACCGGAGAGGGAGCCUGAGAAACGGCUACCACAUCCAAGGAUGGCAGCAGGCGCGCAAAUUACCCAAUCCCGACACGGGGAGGUAGUGACAAUAAAUAACAAUACGGGGUUCUUAAGGAUCUCGUAAUUGGAAUGAGUACAAUUUAAAUCUCUUAACGAGGAACAAUUGGAGGGCAAGUCUGGUGCCAGCAGCCGCGGUAAUUCCAGCUCCAACAGCGUAUAUUAAAGUUGUUGCAGUUAAAAAGCUCGUAGUUGAAUUUCGGGAUCAGUAUGUUGGUCGUGCUUCGGUACGUACUGUCAUUACGGGUUUCUACCUUCUGAAGAACCUUGAUGUCAUUAAUUUGGUGUCUUGGGGAAUCAGGACUGUUACUUUGAAAAAAUUAGAGUGUUUAAAGCAAGCAUACGCUUGAAUACAUUAGCAUGGAAUAAUGAAAUAGGACGUUCGAUCCUAUUUUGUUGGUUUCUAGGAUUGACGUAAUGAUUAAUAGGGAUAGUUGGGGGCAUUAGUAUUCAAUUGUCAGAGGUGAAAUUCUUGGAUUUAUUGAAGACUAACUACUGCGAAAGCAUUUGCCAAGGAUGUUUUCAUUAAUCAAGAACGAAAGUUAGGGGAUCGAAGACGACCAGAUACCGUCGUAGUCUUAACCAUAAACUAUGCCGACUAGGGAUCGGAUGAUGUUAAUUUUUUAAUGACUCAUUCGGCGCCUUACGGGAAACCAAAGUGUUUGGGUUC
rnacentral:rRNA from 1 species